GCCGAUACAUACACGCGGCUGCCGCCCAACCCCGCCAGGUCCGGAAGGAAGCAACGGUAAGCGAAGGGUCGCGGUGCUAUGCCUCCCUCGG
rnacentral:SRP_RNA from 1 species